UACGGUAAGAGCGAAAGCGGGAGGAAGCUCUGUGCCCGGAGGGGACCCGCCGCCAUCUCAGGUCUCUCGGCUUUGCCAGGGCCAACUGGAGAAAGCUGACGCCCCGGGUCCAGUAAUCCUUAUGGGGGACCAACCUUGUGCCUCCGGGAGGUCCACACUCCCACCUGGAAAUACGCGGGAAGCCAAGCCUCCAAAAAAGCGCUGUCUCCUAGCUCCGCGCUGGGAUUAUCCGGAAGGAACUCCAAACGGAGGUAGUACCACUCUCCCCUCCGCACCUCCUCCUGCAUCAGCCGGCCUGAAGUCGCAUCCUCCUCCUCCGGAGAAGUAGGGGAAUAUAUUUCUGCCACCCCAAACCAGUGCAAGACCACUAACAAGAAUGUAUUGAAAGCCUAAUAAUGUCUAUGCCCAGCACUGUGCUAACAGAAGGGAUUGUAAGGUAUUCAGGAAGCAUGGAGGAUGGACCAAGUCACUGCCUGGUAGUAAUCAUGAGCCAUCAAAAGAGGAAGGGGGAACUUUGGGUGGGCCUUAAAGGUCUAAAGGGAUUGCAUUAUGACUCCAUUUCCUUGGUGCAUUCGUAAAAUAGUUCACCCAGUGAAGACAGUGAAGAUUAUUUACAAUGCUACCCUGCUUUUUCUGAUGUUCUGCACCUGGAAGUUGUGAAAUUUAAGAGACAUGUAACUAACUGCCUGCUGACCCUUUCUCUGUGGAUGCCUUAUCAGCACUGCAAACUGAACACAGCCAAAACUGGAAUCUUUGAAUCAUCACCAGCAACACCACAAACCUGUUUUUAUUCUUUAUUAUGAUGUAAUCAGCGUGAAUUUACCUCCUGAAUUUGGAUGAAUUCUAGGACAUGGGCAAGAUCAGCUUGUAGACUUCUAAGACCGAAGGUCAUGGCCUGAAUCAUGAUGAACUCACUAAAACAAAUAUUGCCCAUGAGAUGGUCCUGCACGCAGCCAACCAGUGCUCUCUGUUGGUGAUAUUCUAAUCCUUGCUGUAUAACUUUAAAUUGCCAUAAAUUCAUUAAGGUCCCAAUAAAUUUUGUCUCUCAUUGUUGUGUUAAA